UCGCAGGCGGGCGCGGCCAUCGACCAGUGACGCCUGCGCGCUCUGCGCUCUGCCGAGAGGGCUGCGACGCCCCGCGGGCCGGCGGGAAGAUGGCGGCGGCGGCGGGCUACCCAGCCGGGAAGGGGCGCGACAUGAGCCUGGCGGCCCUGCGGCGCCACGAUCCCUACAUCAGCCGCAUCGUGGACGUGGCCAGCCAGGUGGCCCUGUACACCUUCGGCCACCGGGCCAACGAGUGGGAAAAGACUGAUGUGGAAGGAACCUUAUUUGUUUACACAAGGUCUGCUUCUCCGAAACACGGCUUCACCAUCAUGAACAGGCUGAGCAUGGAGAAUAGGACAGAGCCCAUCACGAAAGACCUGGAUUUCCAGCUCCAGGACCCCUUCCUUCUCUACAGAAAUGCCAGAUUGUCCAUUUAUGGAAUUUGGUUUUACGACAAGGAAGAAUGCCAAAGAAUUGCAGAGCUUAUGAAAAACCUCACUCAGUACGAACAGCUGAAAGCGCACCACGGAGCGGGGGCGGCAGUGGGAGCGUCCCCCAUGGGCCUCGGCUCGGGAGAUCGCAAGGAGGUGGACAUCCUACGGAUGCUCACCAAGGCCAGAGACGAAUACGCGAAGUGUAAAGCCUGUCCUGAGCCCAAACAGAUCAGCAGCUCGUCCGCCAUCUACGACAACCCCAAUCUCAUCAAGCCGAUUCCAGUGAAGCCCGGUGGGAGCCGGCAGCAGCGGGGCCCUCGGCCCGGCCAGACCUUAGACCCUGAGCCCCAACACCUGUCCUUGACGGCCCUCUUCAGGAAGCUGGACAAAGCUACGUGUCACGAAGCCGCGCGGCCUCCAAAGACCCUCCCCCAGCAGCAGCAAGAGAAGCUUCCGCUUCGGCAGGGGGUCGUCCGCUCCCUGUCCUACGAGGAACCCCGAAGAUGCUCGCCCCCGGUCGAGAAGCAGCUCUGUCCCGCCAUUCAGAAGCUCCUGGUCGGGAUCGCGGACCUGCAGCCGCUGGCAGAGCUGCCCGAGAGCCGGCCCGGUAGAGACGCCGCCCGGCCAGGGUCUCCCCGCGGCCCCGAGGUCUCCCGCCGCGUGCACGGUGCCCCCAGGACUCAGAACCCGCCGGACCAGCCCCAGAGCAUCCCUGGGGCGCCGGCACCAGACGCCUCGGCCGAGACGCCGGGGCCCCGGGCACUCCCGAGGCCAGCGCCCCCCGGCCCUGGGCCCGGCCGUCAGCCCCUGGGGCCCAGCGAGGUCUCCCCGCGGGAGCUGCUGUGGAAGCUCCAGGCGGUGCAACAGGAGCGGCAGUUGCCGGCGCCCGGCCGCCCAGCCCUGGCGGCCAAGUUCCCCGUGGCCACCCCGAGCGCUGGAGCACGGAACCCCCUGGAGUCCUGGAGGGACCAGACCCCCAGCGCGGAGCAGCAGGCUCCCCUCCUACAGGUCCUCUCGCCCCGGCGCGCCCCGCCCGCCGCAGGCCCAUCUCCGCUCAUGUCGCCACUGGUGUUUGCGCAGCCCCCCUGGGCCCCACCGCCAGAGAGGGGCAGCGGGCUCUUGCCCCCGGGAAGCCAGGACCCGGCGGCCACCCCCAGCGGCCCCCUCCUGCCCCUGUGGACGCCGGAGCCCCCCAGGACGCCGGGCAGUGCCCUGACCAAGCCGCAGCUCCAGGAGGCCCUGCUGCACCUCAUCCAGACACUCAGCGUGGCUCUGGGCGUUGUGACUUGGAGGGCUAAGUCCUCAAGUGCCACCCGGCAGAAGAGGGGGAGGUGAAGCCGCCCCUGGGAGGGUCCCGGGUCUGUGGGGCCGUCGGGAGCCAGAGGGGAGUGGAGGGAAGGGCUGCCCUGAGCCCGCGGCAGCGCCCAGGCCGCUACUCGGGGAGGAUGCAGCUGGGGCGGCAGGAAUGGCUGUGACGACCACGGCAUGUUUUAUAGACGACCUUGAAGCCUGCCAGUGAGGACAGGCUGGGAUGGCUUCCUCGUGCCCCUAUGAAGUAAUAAGGGCGAUGACACUUGUACAGAGCUCUGGGCCGGGCACGGUGUUAGACACCAGGAUGCCGAGGCUGAGGGACUGGCCUGAGGUCACCAGCCAGUGAAGAGCAGAGCUGGGGCUGCAGCCUGGCUGCCGUGCCCCUUCCCACUGCACGACGGGGCCGGGAGGUGGCAGAGCCCACCCCGAACGCGAGACAGGCCUUGCACAGUGCCGCGCGCUCACCCAGACGGACCGCAGACAGCCCAGCUCACGUACUGAGAAUGACGACAACUUCUUAAAUAUAAUCUACGAAGCUUAUCUCUUCAGCAUGACACAAGCGGCCGUGAGAAAGACUCUGUGAAAGCAAAGCAUUUCAAGACUGAUCUCCAGGGCCUUCGGCUCGAGGUCCUUUCAGGUCACAUGUUGUUUCCCUAAAUGUUUCUGCCUUUUUUUUAAAGUAUGUCUUAUAUGAAAUAAAAUGCUUCAGGCUUUUUUCAGU